CCUCCAAGCCCAGCUACCAUCCAAGCCCAGCUACCCCCUUCGAGCCUUGCCUCCAAGCCCAGCUACCCCCUUCGAGCCGGAGCUGCACCCGCGAUCAACCGCGCGCCCUCUCCAACCAGCUGUUCUCCACCGUGCUGCAGCCCCUUUUCCUUCUUUAACUAGCAAAAAUUACUAUUUUUACUUCUCCUUUUAACUACUCUACUCAUUUAUUCUUCUUAUUUAUUUUUCAGGUUAGACUCGAUCGAUAAUGAAUUCAUCUGAUUCUGAAGAACUGACCGAGCUUACCAAAGAUUUUGAACGUUUAGUAGCAAGCAACGACAGGAUACAAAAGAGAGUCGACAAAUUAAGAGAAAAAAAUAGUAAAUUGAGUCAGAAUACUAGCAAGAUAGAGACCGCUACGAAUGUCUGCUUAACGGCUGUUGUAGUUGGUGCUAUCGUGAAAAAGAAAGCGGGCUCCCGUAUUGCUGAAGCUGCGAAGAACUUUUCUAAGUGAUGACUUUUUUUUUAUUUUAUAUUUUUCGUACUGUUGUUGUUGUUGUUGUUGUUUUUUUUUUUCUUUUUUCUUGUGUUUUUAUUAUUUGUUAGGAUAACCGGAUUGUUGUGUUAACGUUGUGUUCUUGUGUUACUUUGGUGACACUUUUUUAAUGGCUCUUGUGCAAAAUGCAAGUAAUAGUUAGUAAUUAAGGGCACUUUUAAGUAACUGUUCUUAAUUAAGUAAUUAUUAAAUUUAUUUUUAAUUUUUUGAGAAGCAUCGAAAUUAUACCCAAAAAAAAAAAAAAACGCUGGGUAAUGGGCAAGCGGGAAAAUUUAGCUUCGCGCGCAAGGCCAAAGUUAAAAAACCCUUAGCCGCGCGCCCUAGGUCUCUCGUCCGCGCCUCCUCCACUCCCCAACCAGAACGCCACCAGAAGACGAAGCAUCACCCUUCGCGUCGCUACGCCCUGAUUCCUGGGAGAUCCUCUGCUUCGUCUCCUCGCCCGCGACCCCUCUGCCCUCGCUGCCGUGCAAGCGGAUUGGGAGAACGAUUUGAGCUUCCUCAACGUUCAUCUCCACUUCGGCUCUCAAGGAGUUGCAGGUCGUCGCUUCCUUCAUUAAUCGCCCUUGAUUCAUUCUCAUUAUUAUACUGUUUUCUUCUUUUUUUUCUUUUUUUUUUUUGAUUAAACAGGGAUUUACCCUAUUUUUGGAGUACAGUGGAACAAGGAGUAAAAUCAGCACAUACGGAAAAAUGAAUUACAUAAGUUGAACCCACAAUCCAAACUCAAUCAUCCCCCCAGGGAGCAGGAGUACAUUAUGCGCAUUUGACCCUGUUUAGAGGUCAACACACAGGUGUUUCGUUAGAUUUGGGAUUUCCUCCUCCACUUAUUUCUCUGUACUGUGGCAGAAAGGAAAGUCAGUCUUCCUUGUUGCUUUGUUGGGAUUGGAAGAUCGCAGCAGAUCACAAAAGAAGGAAAAAAAAAAAAAAAAACUUGGACUUGAAUAUUAGCUCCUUCUAAGCCAAGUGUCUUCUCUCUCUCUCUCUCUCGCGAGGCCUCCAGGCACGAACUUUCUAAGCUUUUAGAAUGUAAAGCUUGCAAAAGCAGCACUGAGGCCCGGUGCAGGGAAUUUGGUUAAUGCGAUUAUGCAAAAGCUACUUCUCUUGAAGAUUAAGCCAGCGAGAAGAUGAAGCCAUCUAUUAACCGAUUGCAAAGCUUCAAUUCCUUCAUUUUGUUUAGCAAGAAAUAUGUACUGAUUGGAGUAUAUUAAUAUUGUAUGUUUUGUACUUGGUUUUGGCUACUAAUUAAUGAUGCAUGAUGUUUUACUUGUAUUUAAAUCUUUUUUUUUUGAACAACUGUGUUAGAUAUUGUUAAUUUUUUUGGUUUAUUAUGGAUGCUUAAUGUAAUAGUAUGUCGAAAUUUUAUAAAGUUAUCUUUUCAUUCUUUGUUUU